GUUCCCCAACAACAAUAUUACAACUGCUUAUGUAGUAGUAUCCAGUGUCUUAGGUGUUGUGAGCAAUCCAGAAUGAUGUGAAACACGGAAGAUUGCCAGGACUGACAGAGUCAUGUGUGAACUGAAAAUAUUCCGGGUGCUCAGCAUGCUGAAAGUCCUGCAUGCUGAAAAUCCUAACUACUGGGUAGCCGAGGAAGGAGGAUCACGUGAGAUCAACACGUAUAAAUAACCCAGAGGUGAGUUAAAGUCCCUGAGGGGAUGCACAUAAGAUAUAUGCACUGUUACACCAUUUUAUGCAAAACAAAGUCAGCACCCACAAAUCUUGGUCUCUUUGAGGGUGCCUGGAAUCAACCCUUAACAGUAUGAAGGAAAAAUGAAAAGACUGUACUAAUAAAGACUGUGACAGGAGACAGACCUUAAAAAUGCCGCACUA